rnacentral:rRNA from 1 species
AUUGAACGCUGGCGGCAGGCCUAACACAUGCAAGUCGAGCGAGCGGCGGACGGGUGAGUAAUGUAUGGGGACUGCCCGAUAGAGGGGGAUAACUACUGGAAACGGUAGCUAAUACCGCAUACUAUCGGAUAACCCAUAUGGGAUUAGCUAGUAGGUGAGGUAAUGGAUCACCUAGGCGACGAUCCCUAGCGGGCCUGUGAGGAUGAUCAGCCCCACUGGGACUGAGACGCGGCCCGGACUCCUACGGAGCCAGCAUUGGGGAAUAUUGCACGAGGGGCGCAAGCCUGGUGCAGCCAGGCCGCGUGUAUGAUGAAGGCCCUAGGGUUGUAAAGUACUUUCAGUCGGGAGGCGUUACCGACAGAAGAAGCACCGGCUAACUCCGUGCCAGCAGCCGCGGUAAUUC